rnacentral:lncRNA from 1 species
CAACACAAUCUCAAUUAAAUCACUAGUCUUCUUUUCAUGCGCUCCUAAUCACGAUAGAUCGCAUCAUAGCUUUAACCUGCAAAUUAAGCAAGAUUGAGCACGACGGCCCAUCAAGUCUAACAGUCUAUCAUGCAUCACAUAACACAUAUGUUCACAUUCAAUUCAUGCAUUUAUAUUCUUGGGGUUCAAGCAUAUUACAAAUGCAUCAUCACAUUUAUAUCCUGCUAGUAGCAACAUAAAUAUCAUAUAUAGCAUACUACACAUGUCAUGCACAUGUCAUUCAUUGCACAUAUAUAUUGAGUUCCCCGACUCAAUUCAAUAAUUAGUCAUAAUUUGACAUUCAUCAUUCACAAAGCAAAUAAUGCAGUUCAUAGGUAUUACAUACUUAUAAACAUAAAUCAUGCUAACAAGUAUCUAUAGUAAUUUAUAAGUCCACAUAAAUAAACUGAGAAACUUGCCUGUACCGCGGUUUUACCAUUACACCAACUUUUGCGUUCCUUGCACAACCUACAUUAUAUGUGGGAUUGAUAACAAAACAUGUAAUUUCAGUUAUCAUGGUGGUAGUUUAGAUUUCUAUAUCUGAGAUAUUGUAUACAUUUUUCAAAUACCUCAUCCAUGUUUUCUCAUUAGUAAUUUCUCACUUUGAUGGGGUUUGACAUGCUUAUAUCAUGCAAUAGGGAUGACUUUAAAGUUAUCAUUUACAUUUUAUUCAGGAUUUAGAACAUAAAGGGUUCAUGUGUUCUUGAGUUCACUAGUUUUGGUCAAUUCUUGCCAAUUUCAUUUCUAGCCACUUUAGUUCAUUCCAACACUUGAAUUUUAUCUAGUUAAGACUAGUUCUAGCAUUCCUUUAGGUUUACCAAGCAUAGAUUGGGUUUUGACCCUUUAAACCUAACUUUUUCAAGCUUUUACACACUAACUUCACAAGUUCUUGUAUAUAUUAGCAUUCCAACACUUGGAAUAGCCUAGCAUACCUCUAAAUUACUUGUCUAAGGUGUCCAAAUUGAGUUCUAAGUAGAAUAGAAAAAUCUCAAGAUUUCAUACUUAGACAAAUUUGCUAAACGGUAGUUUUAGUGAUUUUCCAUGCUAGUUUGGUGAUUUGUUUAGACUCCUUGGUUAAGACAAGAGCUUAACCACUUGGCCCUACUUCUAGACCAUACUACAAGGUGUGUUAAUCCAGGUUUAGAUUUCUUGUUCAUGCCCAUUAAGCUCCUCAAAACAGAGCUCAAAAUUAGCCAUUUUCUUACUUUUUUUACAAAAACUGAUUUUGUACUUUUUCCAAUUUUUUCCAGUUCUGGCCACUAGGAUAGUCUAGGCAUGUAUAUUUAAGUUAAUUAAGGUUACUUUUAGCAUUACCACACUUUAUUUAAUCAUCUAACUCAUUUUGACUUAUCAAGGCUCACUUUAGGCUUGAAAAGAGAGCUUAUAUUGGUUUUCUUGCUAGCUUUUGUAAUGGUCAUGAUUUGGAACUGUUAUAAGCAGGUAUUAGGGACUUUAUUUGAGUUUAUUACAGCCCCUUAACUUCAGGUGCUAACAAUUUCCCAAAACAAUCCACUAUGUCUCUAAAAAUGUGAUUUUUAACAAGUCUAAGGAUCAAAACAGUUUAGACUUGGUUCCGUUAGCUUAUGUAGCUUACUUGGGUCAUAUUUUAGCUAUUGGAACUUGUCUAUAUAGUCCAGAUAUGGUAGUUCAUCAUUUAGGUGCUAGUUGCUCUUUAAAGCAUAUUUUCAUUGAUUUUUAUGCAUGAAAUUGCACGACACACCUUGUAGACCUUAACUAUCUUAAGGAACAACUUUUAGAUGCUUCUUAUGGCUUUUCAUGGUCUUCUACAUGACUCAGGAGUUCAGUUACUGAACUUUAUCCAAAUACAUUUAGACACAGUUUUGGCUAUAACUCCCAAAACAGUCCACAAGUAGGAAAAAGAGAACUUUAGGCAUUCAAGCAAUCCUUAAAAUAUGCUUAUAACAUAGAAUCAUUUCUCUAUUUAUGUUUGCAAAAGUCAGCCAUCUUUUGAAUACAAAAACAGUCCAUAUAGGACACUUUAGGCAUGCUUAGAUGUUAAAUCCUCAUAACAGUCCCAAGCUCUUGAGCACAAGCAUUUUCAUUUAUCAACUAAAGAAUGCAUCGUGUCUCUUAAUUAGCUCACAACUUAACACAUCACGCUUAAAAGCAUUUGACUCAGCACUUAUGUAUAUAUCAUACAUACUUUAACCCAUAACUCUCAUACUUAAAACUUACUGCAUCAUAUUACAUAAUACAUAAUUCAUAAUUCAUAUACACAUUUUUUAUACCCUCCGUACUUAUAUAGAAAUAAUAACCCAAACUUCAUGGGUAAUUUAUCAAAUUACACCACAAAGCCAAGAAUAGGCCGCUAACGCUGCUAUUAUUGCUGCUCGCUGCCAACUGCUGCUGCCAAUGGGCAGCAGCCCCAACUUCUCAUCUUUUAUUUUGAUAGUACUUCGUUCCCCAUAAUUUUGAUCCGUUGAUGUUGAAAGUUUGAAUAUUGUAUAGGUGUUAUACCCACUUAUUUAAGAAAAUAUUAGCCAAAUAUCUUAGGUAAAUAACACAACAUUUGAGAGAGCAAGGGAGAUCCCACUGCUGCCCUCUAGCACGCUGCUACAACCCAUUGUUGCAGAAACGCAGCAACAAGCUUCCCCUUUUUGCCACUUUGAGAUAUCUUAAAGUUCUAGCUCCUAUUUUGGUUCACAUCCAUUGUUGAUUAUGAUAAACAUGCCAUAUCAAGCUAUAUUAUUAAGAUAAUAGACGUCCAAUUCAGACCUUACAAACAGCCCAACACAGCGAUCAAAAGUGGACGUUCAUUAAAAUUUUCAAUUUCGUUUCAGCUUUACCUUCUCUCUCUAAAACAGUCAUAACUUCUUCGUUUCAAAACAUUUUUGAGCGAUUCUUGCGCCCACGCGAAGCUUACUUCCGGGACUACAACUUUUAUUUUUUGACCAUUUUCAAAUUAUUAGCACAAAAUUCCAGAAAAUCCGUGCAAGGGGACUGCUCGAAUUUCUAGCACUUUUGAUGAUUUCUUAGCUACUUCGCGAUUUUGUAUCUUGCAAUCCUUUUAUCCGGUUGUUCCCAAAUUCUGAUAUGUUCUAAACUAUACUACAUAGUAUUUUAGGAAAUUAUAAUAUAGCCAAAAAGGAUUCUUUAAGGCAUACUAAUAGAGGCUCAAAAGUUACUGUUCUCCAAAGAUUUUCAUAGAACUCAACUUGUAAUAACAUCUUCAAAAAUCAUUGUGAAUCUGUUUUAACAUAAUCUACCAACAUAAGUUGUGUUCCGAUUCAUGUAGGUAUGCUAUCUUGCUUGUAGUGCUAGCAACUUCUCAUGUUUUAACAUAUUUAUUUCAUUUGGGUAUUUUAACAAACACCAUGAAUGCAUAGUUUUGUGUUACAAAUUUCACAGCCAUUUAUCUACAUCAAAAGUCCAUAAUAACAUCCUUAUUACUCCACAACCCAACCUAUCUCCUUGUGCCUAAUUUCAAUUCACAACAGUCCAUUUCAUCACAACUUGCAUAUAUUAGUUUUAAACAAGAUAGUUUAUUAUUAAAAGUUUGAUAUCACAACUCUUAUAAAUGGUUACAAUUACCCAUGAAUAAACAGUGGUGAUGAAAGCUUAAUUCACUAAUUUCCUCAUCAGUUAAUUUAAUUUAACCAACAAUUUAAUCCACUCACACAGCCACCUCAAAACAUUAACAAUACUAACACAAUAUAGUAGCCCCUUCAUUUUCUUUUCAGGCCAAUCGGCCAUUACAGAUCACUAGUAGAAAAAAAAUGGAAUGGAAAAGGAUUGGAAAGGGCCAGAAUUAGCUUACCUUGCUGAGAUCUAAUGGUACAGGUUGUUGAACCUUUUCUCCCCUUUUUGUCGAAGCUCUUCCACUCGUACUCUAUAUAGCUGCUACGGUUCUUGCUUAGUAUUUUGGGAUAGUGACUGAGAUUGGUUGCAAAGUUUGGCCAUAUAUUGUUGAGCUUCUCUCUCUCUUAAUAAGCCUACUUGAUCUAUUGUUGCUCAAUCAUCAUCACCUCUACAUGGAUACUUUCUAAAACCUCUACUCGACCCCUACAUUGGCCUCUACCAUGGCCCCUAAUCAGCCUCCUAGCAGCCUCCUCACAACUCAGCUGAUAACCAUCAAAGGAUAGCAGUCUACUUGGCCCCUAAGAGUAGCCAUAUCAUCACAGCCACCCUAUCUAUGCCUCUA